AGAGGUGCUUGCACCUCUUGMGAGCGGCGGACGGGUGAGUAAUGCCUAGGAAUCUGCCUGGUAGUGGGGGAUAACGUCCGGAAACGGACGCUAAUACCGCAUACGUCCUACGGGAGAAAGCAGGGGACCUUCGGGCCUUGCGCUAUCAGAUGAGCCUAGGUCGGAUACUAGUUGGUGGGGUAAAGGCUCACCAAGGCGACRAUCCGUAACUGGUCUGAGAGGAGAUCAUCCACUGGAACUGAGACACGGUCCASACUCCUACGGGAGGCAGCAUGGGGAUAUUGGAMAUGGGGAARCCUGAUCCGCCUGCCGCGUGUGUGARAAGUCUC
rnacentral:rRNA from 1 species